ACAGUGGACGCGAGCAUCUGUGGCCAAGUUUUUAAGGGCGCACGGUGGAUGCCUUGGCACCAGGAACCGAUGAAGGACGUGGGAGGCCACGAUAGUCCCCGGGGAGUCGUCAACCAGGCUUUGAUCCGGGGGUUUCCGAAUGGGGAAACCCGGCAGUCGUCAUGGGCUGUCACCCGCUGCUGAACUCAUAGGCAGUGUGGAGGGAACGCGGGGAAGUGAAACAUCUCAGUACCCGCAGGAAGAGAAAACAACCGUGAUUCCGGGAGUAGUGGCGAGCGAAACUGGAUGAGGCYAAACCGUAUGUGUGUGAUACCCGGCAGGGGUUGCGCAUGCGGGGUUGUGGGAUCUCUCUUUYACGGUCUGCCGGCCGUGRGRCGAGUCAGAAACCGUUGAUGUAGGCGAAGGACAUGCGAAAGGUCCGGCGUAGAGGGUAAGACCCCCGUAGUCGAAACAUCAGCGGCUCGUUUGAGAGACACCCAAGUAGCACGGGGCCCGAGAAAUCCCGUGUGAAUCUGGCGGGACCACCCGCUAAGCCUAAAUAUUCCCUGGUGACCGAUAGCGGAUAGUACCGUGAGGGAAUGGUGAAAAGUACCGCGGGAGCGGAGUGAAAUAGUACCUGAAACCGUGUGCCUACAAGCCGUGGGAGCGUCGCGCAUCGAGUUUGCUCGGUGCGUCGUGACUGCGUGCCUUUUGAAGAAUGAGCCUGCGAGUUAGCGGUGUGUAGCGAGGUUAACCCGUGUGGGGAAGCCGUAGCGAAAGCGAGUCCGAAGAGGGCGUUUKAGUUGCACGCUCUAGACCCGAAGCGGAGUGAUCUAGCCAUGGGCAGGUUGAAGCGGCUGUAAGAGGUCGUGGAGGACCGAACCCACCAGGGUUGAAAACCUGGGGGAUGACCUGUGGUUAGGGGUGAAAGGCCAAUCAAACUCCGUGAUAGCUGGUUCUCCCCGAAAUGCAUUUAGGUGCAGCGUCGUGUGUUUCUUGCCGGAGGUAGAGCACUGGAUAGGCGAUGGGCCCUACCGGGUUACUGACCUUAGCCAAACUCCGAAUGCCGGUAAGUGAGAGCGCGGCAGUGAGACUGUGGGGGAUAAGCUCCAUGGUCGAGAGGGAAACAGCCCAGAGCAUCGACUAAGGCCCCUAAGCGUACGCUAAGUGGGAAAGGAUGUGGAGUCGCAGAGACAACCAGGAGGUUGGCUUAGAAGCAGCCACCCUUGAAAGAGUGCGUAAUAGCUCACUGGUCUAGUGAUUCCGCGCCGACAAUGUAGCGGGGCUCAAGCGUACCGCCGAAGUCGUGUCAUUGCAGCAAUACUCCUAACGGGGGCUGUGAUGGGUAGGGGAGCGUCGUGUGCCGGGUGAAGCAGCCGUGGAAGCGAGUUGUGGACGGUUCACGAGUGAGAAUGCAGGCAUGAGUAGCGAUUCACACGUGAGAAACGUGUGCGCCGAUUGACUAAGGGUUCCUGGGUCAAGCUGAUCUGCCCAGGGUAAGUCGGGACCUAAGGCGAGGCCGACAGGCGUAGUCGAUGGAUAACCGGUUGAUAUUCCGGUACCCGCUGUGAAGCGUCAAACAUUGAAUCCAGUGAUGCUAAGCCCGUGAAGCCGUUCCGGACCCUUCGGGGAAUGGAAAGUGGUGGAGCCGGYGGCCCGAGCUGGUAGUAGGUGAGUGAUGGGGUGACGCAGGAAGGUAGUCCAUCCCGGGCGGUGGUUGUCCCGGGGUAAGGGUGUAGGACGUCAGGUAGGUAAAUCCGCCUGGCAUAGAGUCUGAGACCUGAUGCCGAGCCGAUUGUGGUGAAGUGGAUGAUCCUAUGCUGUCGAGAAAAGCCUCUAGCGAGUUUUAUGGCGGCCCGUACCCUAAACCGA
rnacentral:rRNA from 1 species